rnacentral:rRNA from 1 species
UGGGGAAUUUUGGACAAUGGGGGAAACCCUGAUCCAGCCAUCCCGCGUGUGCGAUGAAGGCCUUCGGGUUGUAAAGCACUUUUGGCAGGAAAGAAACGUCAUGGGUUAAUACCCCGUGAAACUGACGGUACCUGCAGAAUAAGCACAGGCUAACUACGUGCCAGCAGCCGCGGUAAUACGUAGGGUGCAAGCGUUAAUCGGAAUUACUGGGCGUAAAGCGUGCGCAGGCGGUUCGGAAAGAAAGAUGUGAAAUCCCAGAGACACACUUUGGAGCUUCAUUUUUAACUACCGAGCUAGGGUGUGUCAGAGGCAGGUGUAAUUCCGCGUGUAGCAGUGAAGUGCGUAGAUAUGCGGAGGAACACCGAUGGCGAAGGCAGCCUCCUGGGAUAACACUGACGCUCAUGCACGAAAGCGUGGGGAGCAAACAGG